GGUUAAGCGACUAAGCGUACACGGUGGAUGCCCUGGCAGUCAGAGGCGAUGAAGGACGUGCUAAUCUGCGAUAAGCGUCGGUAAGGUGAUAUGAACCGUUAUAACCGGCGAUUUCCGAAUGGGGAAACCCAGUGUGAUUCGUCACACUAUCAUUAACUGAAUCCAUAGGUUAAUGAGGCGAACCGGGGGAACUGAAACAUCUAAGUACCCCGAGGAAAAGAAAUCAACCGAGAUUCCCCCAGUAGCGGCGAGCGAACGGGGAGGAGCCCAGAGCCUGAAUCAGUGUGUGUGUUAGUGGAAGCGUCUGGAAAGGCGCGCGAUACAGGGUGACAGCCCCGUACACAAAAAUGCACAUACUGUGAGCUCGAUGAGUAGGGCGGGACACGUGGUAUCCUGUCUGAAUAUGGGGGGACCAUCCUCCAAGGCUAAAUACUCCUGACUGACCGAUAGUGAACCAGUACCGUGAGGGAAAGGCGAAAAGAACCCCGGCGAGGGGAGUGAAAAAGAACCUGAAACCGUGUACGUACAAGCAGUGGGAGCCUCUUUAUGGGGUGACUGCGUACCUUUUGUAUAAUGGGUCAGCGACUUAUAUUCUGUAGCAAGGUUAACCGAAUAGGGGAGCCGAAGGGAAACCGAGUCUUAACUGGGCGUUAAGUUGCAGGGUAUAGACCCGAAACCCGGUGAUCUAGCCAUGGGCAGGUUGAAGGUUGGGUAACACUAACUGGAGGACCGAACCGACUAAUGUUGAAAAAUUAGCGGAUGACUUGUGGCUGGGGGUGAAAGGCCAAUCAAACCGGGAGAUAGCUGGUUCUCCCCGAAAGCUAUUUAGGUAGCGCCUCGUGAAUUCAUCUCCGGGGGUAGAGCACUGUUUCGGCAAGGGGGUCAUCCCGACUUACCAACCCGAUGCAAACUGCGAAUACCGGAGAAUGUUAUCACGGGAGACACACGGCGGGUGCUAACGUCCGUCGUGAAGAGGGAAACAACCCAGACCGCCAGCUAAGGUCCCAAAGUCAUGGUUAAGUGGGAAACGAUGUGGGAAGGCCCAGACAGCCAGGAUGUUGGCUUAGAAGCAGCCAUCAUUUAAAGAAAGCGUAAUAGCUCACUGGUCGAGUCGGCCUGCGCGGAAGAUGUAACGGGGCUAAACCAUGCACCGAAGCUGCGGCAGCGACACUAUGUGUUGUUGGGUAGGGGAGCGUUCUGUAAGCCUGCGAAGGUGUACUGUGAGGUAUGCUGGAGGUAUCAGAAGUGCGAAUGCUGACAUAAGUAACGAUAAAGCGGGUGAAAAGCCCGCUCGCCGGAAGACCAAGGGUUCCUGUCCAACGUUAAUCGGGGCAGGGUGAGUCGACCCCUAAGGCGAGGCCGAAAGGCGUAGUCGAUGGGAAACAGGUUAAUAUUCCUGUACUUGGUGUUACUGCGAAGGGGGGACGGAGAAGGCUAUGUUGGUACGGGCGACGGUUGUCCCGGUUUAAGCGUGUAGGCUGGUUUUCCAGGCAAAUCCGGAAAAUCAAGGCUGAGGCGUGAUGACGAGGCACUACGGUGCUGAAGCAACAAAUGCCCUGCUUCCAGGAAAAGCCUCUAAGCAUCAGGUAACAUCAAAUCGUACCCCAAACCGACACAGGUGGUCAGGUAGAGAAUACCAAGGCGCUUGAGAGAACUCGGGUGAAGGAACUAGGCAAAAUGGUGCCGUAACUUCGGGAGAAGGCACGCUGAUAUGUAGGUGAAGUCCCUCGCGGAUGGAGCUGAAAUCAGUCGAAGAUACCAGCUGGCUGCAACUGUUUAUUAAAAACACAGCACUGUGCAAACACGAAAGUGGACGUAUACGGUGUGACGCCUGCCCGGUCGUCGGAAGGUUAAUUGAUGGGGUUAGCGGUAACGCGAAGCUCUUGAUCGAAGCCCCGGUAAACGGCGGUACCGUAACUAUAACGGUCCUAAGGUAGCGAAAUUCCUUGUCGGGUAAGUUCCGACCUGCACGAAUGGCGUAAUGAUGGCCAGGGCUGUCUCCACCCGAGACUCAGUGAAAUUGAACUCGCUGUGAAGAUGCAGUGUACCCGCGGCAAGACGGAAAGACCCCGUGAACCUUUACUAUAGCUUGACACUGAACAUUGAGCCUUGAUGUGUAGGAUAGGUGGGAGGCUUUGAAGUGUGGACGCCAGUCUGCAUGGAGCCGACCUUGAAAUACCACCCUUUAAUGUUUGAUGUUCUAACGUUGGCCCCUGAUCGGGGUUGCGGACAGUGUCUGGUGGGUAGUUUGACUGGGGCGGUCUCCUCCUAAAGAGUAACGGAGGAGCACGAAGGUUGGCUAAUCCUGGUCGGACAUCAGGAGGUUAGUGCAAUGGCAUAAGCCAGCUUGACUGCGAGCGUGACGGCGCGAGCAGGUGCGAAAGCAGGUCAUAGUGAUCCGGUGGUUCUGAAUGGAAGGGCCAUCGCUCAACGGAUAAAAGGUACUCCGGGGAUAACAGGCUGAUACCGCCCAAGAGUUCAUAUCGACGGCGGUGUUUGGCGACCUCGAUGUCGGCUCAUCACAUCCUGGGGCUGAAGUAGGUCCCAAGGGUAUGGCUGUUCGCCAUUUAAAGUGGUACGCGAGCUGGGUUUAGAACGUCGUGAGACAGUUCGGUCCCUAUCUGCCGUGGGCGCUGGAGAACUGAGGGGGGCUGCUCCUAGUACGAGAGGACCGGAGUGGACGCAUCACUGGUGUUCGGGUUGUCAUGCCAAUGGCACUGCCCGGUAGCUAAAUGCGGAAGAGAUAAGUGCUGAAAGCAUCUAAGCACGAAACUUGCCCCGAGAUGAGUUCUCCCUGACUCCUUGAGAGUCCUGAAGGAACGUUGAAGACGACGACGUUGAUAGGCCGGGUGUGUAAGCGCAGCGAUGCGUUGAGCUAACCGGUACUAAUGAACCGUGAGGCUUAACCUU
rnacentral:rRNA from 1 species